rnacentral:rRNA from 1 species
AGUGAACGCUGGCGGUAGGCCUAACACAUGCAAGUCGAACGGCAGCACAGUAAGAGCUUGCUCGUACGGGUGGCGAGUGGCGGACGGGUGAGGAAUACAUCGGAAUCUACUUUUUCGUGGGGGAUAACGUAGGGAAACUUACGCAAAUACCGCAUACGACCUACGGGUGAAAGCAGGGGAUCUUCGGACCUUGCGCGAUUGAAUGAGCCGAUGUCGGAUUAGCUAGUUGGCGGGGUAAAGGCCCACCAAGGCGACGAUCCGUAGCUGGUCUGAGAGGAUGAUCAGCCACACUGGAACUGAGACACGGUCCAGACUCCUACGGGAGGCAGCAGUGGGGAAUAUUGGACAAUGGGCGCAAGCCUGAUCCAGCCAUACCGCGUGGGUGAAGAAGGCCUUCGGGUUGUAAAGCCCUUUUGUUGGGAAAGAAAAGCAGCAGGUUAAUACCCCGCUGUUCUGACGGUACCCAAAGAAUAAGCACCGGCUAACUUCGUG